CGGCGAAACGGGCCUCUGGCCCGUCUCCGGGGCUGGCAUCCCCGGACUGAUGAGCCUGCCAUAU
rnacentral:hammerhead_ribozyme from 1 species